rnacentral:ncRNA from 2 species
UUGAACGUAAAGGGAGAGAUUACCGCAGGAUUCUUGUUCUGAGCUUCUGAGCAGAGACAUUAUCCGCAUGGUAACGCCGAAGGAGUAAGCCCAUUGAUAAGCAAAGGGUGAAUCUCUCAGGCAAAAGGACUUUUACCGGACG